rnacentral:lncRNA from 1 species
AUGGAUUGGACCGGUGCGAACCACGGGACGGUGGAGACGGUCUGGGGUCCAGACCCGGUUAGCCGGCUCGUUGGGGCGUUCUUGGGAGAAAUGCCCCCCCUUGUGGGCAGACAGGCGAGUGUGCUGCGAGAUGAGGGCCCUCCACGUCGAGGGUCCUGGAUCAUCCGGGCUGCUGGCCGGAGAGCAGACGCCAGGCCCAUGCCUCUCCCGAAAGGAGCUGGAAAAGGGCAGGCAGGGGUGCUGCGGACCCCCGAAGUGUCCCUGCCGGAGCCGCUGACUCGACAGGGGCCGGAUCCAGCUCCGCCGCCCCUGCCUCCAACGCCCACCCGAGCGAGCGGGGACCAGGCAGGGGUCGCAGGGCUCUCGGCUCGCGCGCGCCCAUCCAAGCAAGGAAGCGAAUUCAGCCCUUCGCUUCCUCGAAGCCUCUUGCGGCCGGGCAGGAAAAGGCAAAGUGACAUGCAGCGAGCAAGGCUGCCCACAAGAUGAACCAGGAAACACGGCUCCAGUCACUGACCCGCUUCCCACUCGGGCCGGACCGUUCGAAAGAGCAAAGCGUGCCAAAAGAUGACAGCGAAGGAGGAGGGAGAGCGCAGAGCCCAGCACGAACGUUUCUACGGUUCACAGGGGAAGACAGAUGUAACCCCGCUGCUGUGAGGGUUCCAAGAGAGCCUCAGAGACUCAAGAUGCCAAAUGCCCUCCAUAGCCAAGGAAGGGUUGCAGACAAACCCCCCUCUGUCUGUUUCCUUCACGAGCUUAUUGGGUGCGAUGCGUCUUCUGUCAAGGCACGAGACAUCUAG